CAGGUAGGGAUACCGGCUGAACUA
rnacentral:rRNA from 1 species